rnacentral:sRNA from 1 species
CGUCAUCUCACCUGUAUCACACACUAGGUUGUCAGUCCUCUCACAUCAUCUGCCCAGUGACUGAUGACUCAUAGGAAGCUCAAGCCUCAUUGGUUCCUUCCUUAGACUCUGUCCAAUGGGAUCAUAGCAGAUUACUUCAGUCGUAGACUGUGCUGUUCAUCCAGGAGCUCAACUUCAGGAGUCCAGCAUCCCCGUCCACUGCUUUCCUCACUUCAUCCGCCCUUCUAACUCCAUGAUGGUCCCAUGCGUCCCUAUGGUCUCCUGGACAGCAGCUCUGAUGGUGUUGCUGAGCAGAGAGAUCCAGGGCGGGGCCCCUCCAGAAAACCACCUGCUGCGCGCGCUGCACGAGUGCUACGCGGAGAACAACGGGACGACGCAGCGAUUCAUCAUGAGAUGCAUCUUCAACCGCGAGGAGUUCAUGCGCUUCGACAGCGCGGUGGGCGAGUUCCGCGCGCUCACCGCCAUGGGGCGGCCGUGGGCCGAGUCCUGGAACAAGCAGAAGGACUACAUGGAGCGGCGGAGGUCCGAGGUGGACACGGUGUGCAGACACAACUACGAGCUGAGCCAGGGCUUCACAGUGAAACGCCGAGUCCGGCCUAAGGUACACGUGUCACCCUCCAAGAAGGUCACCCUGAAGCACCAUGACCUGUUGGUCUGCCACGUGACAGAUUUCUACCCGGGCAGCAUUCAGGUCCGCUGGUUCCAGAACAGCCAGGAGGAAACGACUGGGGUCGUGUCCACCAACCUGAUCCGAAACGGGGACUGGACCUUCCAGAUUCUGGUCAUGCUGGAGAUGACGCCACAGCGGGGAGAUGUGUACAUGUGGAACACCCCAGCCUUGAGAGCCCCGUCACAGUAGAGUGGAGGAUCCAGUCUGACUCUGCCCGAAACAAGAUGCUGACCGGAGUGGUUGGCCUGGUGCUGGGCCUCAUUUUCCUGGCCGUGGGCAUCCUGAAGCACGUGUGGAGCAAGCAGGCUCAGCCGAGACCCCCAGGAUCUAGAUGAGCAGGUCCCAACUACAGAUCCACCAACAGAGGCUGGAGAGACGGCACAGCAGUUUCAUAUGCACUUGCUGACAUUCCAGAGGUCCCCGGGUCAGUUCCCAGCGUCCACAUCUGACAUCCGCCAGCUGCCUCUAACUCCAACUCCAAGGGAUCUGAAGCAGUCUUCUGUCCUCCCGCACACACAAAUACAAAUAUCAAUGAGUCCACCAGGGCUGGAGAGAUGGCUCAGUGGUUAAGAGCACUGAC